rnacentral:misc_RNA from 1 species
GUAAAAAGACAGCUCGCAGUAAAUUUACUGUUAGAUGGUUUCAACAUGGCUGACUACGGAAGUAGCAUGCUUUCGAGUGUAACUUGUACGUCUCCUAUCUGUCCUCUCUCAUUAUCAGCUUUUUGGCUUACAGAUAAGCUGAAGAGAAUUGAAGAACAAGGAACACUGCCUUAUGCCACCACAACUCAGGAGAAAAGUGGGCUAGAUGUACUGCUUAUGGUAUUGAAACAAAAGGAGGGUACCCUUACUAAUGUUAAUAAUGGAGAGACUGUUUCAGAUAGUAAGAGGCAGAAGACAAGAAAGAUACAAAAAUCUGCGCCAGUGCACAAUAAUGACGUGUUUUCCACGAUGUUUGGGCCAAAGCGAAGGCAGGCAAAACCACUGCCAGUAGUUCCUGCUGAGAGACAGACAUGCAGCAUUGCAGAAAUGAAAAGGAUACUUGACAUGAAAAGAGAACUUCAAAUCUCCAUAUUGAACGUUUCUUUUGAAGGAGUAGUUUUCUACAAUCAAUGGUCUGCAGAUGCUUGCAGUCUUUGAAUCAUAAGGAUGCCACCGUUUCGGGAAUGCCAAGAGGAAAAUUUGUGCAGAUUUUACACGUAGGUAACCACUAGGUUACGUUGAGUAACUUACAUUGCUUCCAACCAGGUGCGGUAAUGGUUUACAGUUCUUUCUUGAACACAGUGAGUGAGGAAUAUAAGACAACAGCCAGACUUCUGUUUACAAAUCAAAACACAUACAACUCAUGCUUUAUUAUGCGUUGGUUGCGACAAAUAAAACCAUGAAAAUGUCUGCUAAUCCAUUGAGACAUGCUCCGUAGAAGACACCCAUUCAUCAAUACCACAAGACUCAGGACAGACCAUAAAAGAGACCUUGGUUCUACCUGAGACAUUGGGACUUCCUAUAAUUGUAGGAGACAAUUCUGCUUGAGAUAUCAGCUCUUGCUGUACCAGAAGACUCGGUGUCUACCUAAGGGGUGCAGGCAUAGUUAAAAUUCCCUAUGCAUGUGCAGACCAUGAGAAGACAUUGAUUCUACCUGAGAGGUCGGGUCUCAUUACACAGGAACACAAGGCACCAAACACAUAUCUCACAUGAUUUUCUCGAGAUAGGCGUUGAAUGGCACCACUGCAUGAACAACACAUCUUCAUGUCCAUCAGUUAACAGUUUGUGGCAUAGUGGCUAAUGGACCUGUCACCACAUAUUUGAGUGCUGUGGGUUUGAAUCUCGGCUCAACAUUUUUUGUCACCCUUUUUCCUCUGUGUUGCAUACAUAUCUUUCAGAUGCACCUGUCUCUGUCUUGUUAUAGAUUUAUGUGAAGUCAUCUGAUGAUGAUGGGAAGGCAAUAUCCACAAAAAGAAAAAAAAACCAUGAAAGUUGGUGGUUACAAAGAGCUCAGUUGGAGCCCAAGUUCUUAGUGGCUCAGCCAUCAUCUUGCCAAUGCAGGCAGUGCUGCUGUCAAGGGUAAAUGCCCACAGAUACUCAUCAUUAUCUACAUGCACUUUUUUCACCAAAUCCUUUUGUGCUCUAUAUGCACUCAAAUUAAACUACAUCAAAACUUCUUGUGGUUCUUAUGCACUUACAAGCAAAUGAACUGCAACACUGAUAGCAGCUUUGUGACUGAAGGAGUGGAUGUUGUUGAACCUUUGCAUAUGGAAUCAUUCUAAGGAGCAGGGUGAAGGUUCUUUCUGUGAACUUGCCUUCAGUAAUAUUUUGGUGCUAGUGGGCGAUUUCUUCUUGCUUUGCUGAUGCCAAGAAAGAAAUAGAAUACCUGUAAAGUUCUGCAUAGUAAGAAUGAUUUUUUGAGACAGAGGACCAUGCCCUGUAUACAGUAAAUUUAUAUAUAUAUAUCUUUAAUCUUUUACAGCAUUGCACAUAAUUGUUGAUUUGUGUGGCAUGAAUCUGAAUCCUGAGGUUUUCAAGUGGAUGCUCACGAUUUUACUGCACCCUUAAUUAAUAUGUGAUCCUUUCUUUCCCAUUAGAUGAAGCCUUGACCAUGCCUCUCCCUACAUCUCAAUGAGAUGUUGGCAAGUUUUAUAUUGGGCUCUGCUAUGAGCAGCAUGUCUUCCAUAUCCAUCUGUUCCCUCACUUUGCAAGUUGUGCUCACCCUCUUCCAGCAGGGCAUGCUGGAUCCCAACUAUCAGGUUGGAUCACUAAAGAAAACUGUUAGGCACUUUGAGAUGCACAAAUCUGGUGUAGAACUUUCCGGGCCUCGAUCUUAUUUGAGAGGUGCAUGAGAUUAAGGAAAAGGGGGAGGGAUAUGUGAUGCAUAUAUGUGCACACAUAUGCAUGUCUUUUAUGUGUUAAAAUAAUUGAAACAUACGUUGAUUGAUCUGGUUUCCCAACCAUUUUCCAGGUGGUCUUUGAAUGUCAAGCAGUCUGAAGUUUAAUGUUCAUGCUGUUGCAUUGUUCACUAGCAAUGACAUACAGGACUGGGAGGACUCUGGGUAUAAAAGAAAGGUAGGUGAAUCAGAUAGUGAUGACAAUCAUUAGCACCACAAGGCCUUUUUUUUUCAUCAAGACAUCAGCGUGAGAGAUCGGAUAGUAAAAGGUAGGCCAUCCCAGUCUAGAGACAGGCAACAAACGUUACUUACACAGGCCUUUCUUGUCAAACAAGGCGACAAUGCUGCUAUUGUAGAAAGACUCGAGGCCUUACAGAAAACGACCGAUUCGAUGAAACAACUGAUAGAAAACAGCAGAUGUUCACUUGCUGAGCAAAUUGAUAAAAAAAUAGAAAUUCUUACAAGCACUUUGUUUGAGUUAAGAACUGAAAACGAUCAUCUAAAAAAAAUCUUAGAACAAACGCAAAAACAAGUAAAAAGCUUGGAGGAAGAAUCACAAAGUUUGAGAGUACAAUGUGCAGAACAGAAGGAACAAAUCAACGUGCUGGAACAGUACUCACGACGUGAAUCCAUACGUGUGUUAGGGAUACAGGGAGACAGGAAAGAAGAAAUACCUGCAGAAUGUGAAAAAAAUAUACUGCAUAUGAUUCAGCAUGUGCUUGGUUUGACAGAUAUUGAUAGUGCCAAAAUUUCGACACUUCAUCGAGUGGGGAGAGUGAUGACAAACGAACCUCGACCAGUGAUCAUAAAAUUCGUGUCGCGCAAGGACAGAGAUCAGGUUAUCAAAACAAGAAACAGACUUAAGGGCUCAAAUGUUGUCAUCACAGAAGACCUGACUAAAUUAAAUUUACAAAGACUAAAUCGUCUGCGGCAACACGAUGGAGUGUUAGAUGCCUGGUCAGCGGCAGGAGGUCGUUUAUUCGUUAAACUGAUAGACCUAUCAAUAAUGGAAAUCAAAAACGGUGACACAAACCCUAUAGAGAAGAAACUGCUGGGGGUUACAAGAGAGCAACAGCGACAAAGCAGGGAACCAAAUAGACAACAGCGAUAUCGUCAGGGGGAGCAACAACGGCAGCAAGACCAAAGACAACACCAUCAGAGGUCAGGACAGAUGGGGGACGACCGUCAUGGGGCCUCACCGUCACGUUCCCACUUCUCCCCUACCACCUAUUCGACGCCUUCAACUACCUGGAUACAUGCGCCGAAACCUGUGUUAGAGACAGAUAUGGUCCUCCAUCAGCAUGACACUAACAAGGAACAGCAGCCUUCCGCAAGUGAUGUGAGCAACAUUGAUAUGGAAAACACAAGCAGAACAUUGGAUAAUCCACUUGUGUAAUUGUGAAACACUAAUGACAAAAAUCAGUAGAUAUUCGGUAUGUAGAAACUGAUAAUUCAUGGAUAUAUUUGAUUUCCCCUCAAAACCAAUGUGUACUGAUUAGGGGAGCCAGUAUAGCUUAUGCAUCUGCCAAAAAGAAGAAGCAGAUUACAAGAGAGAAAGAGCUAAAACAACAAAUAAAUAACAUAGAAGAAAACAUGACUGUCUAUUAUUUUUAAUUUUGUUGAAAGAGAAUGGAAAGUAUGGACAAAUGUGUGCAUUUCAUGACUGCCCAUUUUAAUAUAAUGGCAUAAAUGAGGGGCUUCAUUUUAAAGAUCAAGAGAAAAAAAAAAGUGAUUUUUGUUGCCUGAUAUGCUUGUCCUUAACUUUGACGGGAGAAAUACCUGUUUUCUUCAGCACUGUAUUUAAUUCCUGACCUAACUGAUAAAAUAUGUAUAAUUGUCAUGUAAAACUUGUGAGGUGUGUCUGACUUUUAAUUUUUGAAAUUUUGUAAAAAUUAAGUAAUGCAUUUUUCUGUCAAGUUUUUUUCCUCUCUUUUAUUAUGCACUCGACAUGGGCUGGCACACUGAAUCUAAUUUAAGAGGAGUGGCAACAAUAAAAGAUUAUAUUAUA